rfam:Otolemur garnettii contig179558, whole genome shotgun sequence.
AGCUUUACACAUUGGCAGUAUCAUAGCCAAUGAGGUUUAUCUGAGAUGCGAUUAUUGCUAAUUAAAGUUAUAGCACCUGCCAUCAACAUGUUGAAAAGGGAAGCAUGAAAAUGAGAGAAAAAUUGUGUAACACAUUUCAUUGA